rnacentral:precursor_RNA from 14 species
AGGAAAAACAAGAAUGUGUUGAGCUUGAAACUCCACUAUUGAGUGCUAUUAGUGUGUUAUUUGUAUCUGAUUGCACGCAAUAGUGGGGCUCCACACUCCAACCCUUUACCAACUGUAUAC